GUGUUUGCUUCAGCAGCACAUACACUAAAAUUGGAAUCUUCAGAGAAGAUUAGCAUGGCCCCUGCUCAAUGAUGACAUGCAAAUUCAUGAAGCAUUCUAUAUUUUU